GAAUAGAUCAAAAUGAGUCUUGAGGUCAUUACAGGGAGAGCCAGCCGUUGAGGUUACAAAUGAAGGUGUUGAUGCUGCAGGGCAUACAAUUGGUACAUUUUUGGAGGUCGUGUUCAAACUUAGGAAGGUUCUCAACCCCAAGAGUACCACACCUUUGCUAUGACCAUGUCAGUCUUGAGGUCCUUAGAGGUACCACACCUUUGCCGUGUCAUACUAUGUUCAUGAGUAUGAUGAAACAGAAAGGAAAUGGUAGGAAGUUUGGUUUGCUGUGAUCGGUUCCAUGAGAUUUAGAAAGUGAUGCAGGGACGCCUUUGAUCAUGCUCAACAAGCUGCUAGAGUUUUCAAGAACAGAAACAGCCUGCGGUCUACCCUAUUGGAAGCACCAUCCGUUCUUCAACCCAACUACGAGUGGAUGAGUGUCAUUGACUCGGGCCUGCUGGAACAUUGGAAUUGGCAGAGGGUGAAAAUGUUUGGUGACAACUGGUUCCUAGUGAUUCGGUUAAUCGAAGAUGAAGCAAACGAUGGAAAUUUUACUUUGGCUCGUUCAUCACGCUUCAGAUUAAUGUGAGCACCUCGCCCAGCACUGUACCUAUUAUCAUCCUGGCUAUAUUCGUCGAGCCAAUUUUCCUCUUCACAAGCAAAAAGCCACUUAUCAAUUCUACCGGUUACGUCUCUUCUGCUCAAAGCUUCAUCUUUAGCUUUCACUAUCUGUGCUUCAAUGCUAGCUAAUAAUUCACAAGGAUCAACCAGGCCAGAAUCUAUUAAUGCACUAGCUUUCUCGGCAGCAGUACUUGUAUCAGGUUCGAUAUGAGUCAAUCUACAUAUUUCUUCUAACUCUGACCUCUUCUUAAAAACAAACAAGUUCUUUCAUUCUACUUGCUUUUAGUUUCGCAAGUUUUUCCACUUCUGCCGAAGCCUUCUCUAUCACAUUUGUUGAAAGACCGCCUCUUUCGGUGUUUUCUUAUGGCGAAGUUGCAACAAUAGAAGUAAUCCUCAGAAAAGUGUUCCUCUCUUCUUUUGACGUGUCCAUCAAAUUCCAAAGUUCGAAUAGGUUAGCGACAAUAUCCUUCAACUUCUGUAUUCUGACUUUUCUUUCGGUUUUUAACUUGAGAAUGGUCUUCUCUAAACCUUCCAAUGUGCUAUUGCUAAUAUUAGUUGAUUGCUCCACCUGAGUCCCGUGCAAGCUCGGAUGUACAUCGUCUACUGUUUGGCCGAAAUCCAAUCCAAGAACACCACAGAGAGUAUGCACCUCAUUAACACAUUGCAUCUAAUUUAGUUGCUAUGAAUAAUUAAGUAGGUGUUUGAAUGCAAUAUAGAGAGAAUUAUAUACAUGAAUGGUUAAAAAGUAAAUAAAUUGAUACAAAAAUGAAAGGAUUACGGGGAAACCGGUGAAUUUGUGGAAAAUGUAGCUGAAGAUGUGAAAAGGGACAAGUUGGUUGGUGAAGAAACUCCUUCCGUGUAAGAUAUGGGCGCCGGUAGAUUGAGGGCGUGGUGGGUGGAAGUAAAGGAGGCGGUAGGCGGCUCUAAGGACGUAGGAAUUGUUUCUUUCAAAGAUUAAACUUAAAACUAGAUUGGUACUAUU